ACGCUGGCGGCAUGCCUAACACAUGCAAGUCGAACGGAGUUAUUUGAAUGAAGUUUUCGGAUGGAUUUCAGAUAACUUAGUGGCGGACGGGUGAGUAACGCGUGAGCAACCUGCCUUUCAGAGGGGGACAACAGUUGGAAACGACUGCUAAUACCGCAUAAUGUAUCGGAACCGCAUGGCUCUGAAACCAAAGCUUUAUGUGCUGAGAGAUGGUCUCGCGUCUGAUUAGCUAGAUGCGGGUAACGGCCCACCAUGGCGACGAUCAGUAGCCGGUCUGAGAGGAUGAACGGCCACAUUGGGACUGAGAUACGGCCCAGACUCCUACGGGAGGCAGCAGUGGGGAAUAUUGGGCAAUGGGGGAAACCCUGACCCAGCAACGCCGCGUGAAGGAAGAAGGCCUUCGGGUUGUAAACUUCUUUUACCAGGGACGAAGGACGUGACGGUACCUGGAGAAAAAGCAACGGCUAACUACGUG
rnacentral:rRNA from 1 species